rnacentral:rRNA from 1 species
UACGUAGGGGGCUAGCGUUGUCCGGAUUUAUUGGGCGUAAAGAGCGUGUAGGCGGCCAGAUAGGUCUGCUGUGAAAACUCGAGGCUCAACCUCGAGAUGUCGGCGGAAACCAUUUGGCUAGAGUCCGGAAGAGGCGAGUGGAAUUCCUGGUGUAGCGGUGAAAUGCGUAGAUAUCUGGAGGAACACCUGCGGCGAAGGCGGGUUGCUGGGCUGACACUGACGCUGAGGCGCGAAAGCCAGGGGAGCGAACGGG